ensembl:ncRNA F54C9.16 ncRNA
GUUAAUUCACAACGUUUUCUCGUUUGGAAGCGAUGCCUACCGUACCCUUGCUGUUUGAAUUCCCGCGCCUGCGCAUCAAACUUUAUGUGUGCAGUGGCGGUGUACGCACACCAUCAACUCGCGUCUGAUUGCGGACUUGAAG